rnacentral:piRNA from 1 species
UAUAUUACAUUUAACUAUUUGCUGCUUCCA